rnacentral:rRNA from 1 species
AUGUCUUCCUCAAGCUCCCGCGCCACCUCGCGGAUGCAGAGCCGGGCGCGUGUGGACAUGCAUGUCUUCGUCUGUCCGCGGUGCCGGGCGGGCAUUGAUCGGAGGGUUUCUCACACACCGAGGAACCAGAAUCGUCCGUUCUACGUGUGCAGCGAGAAUGGGGUGACAUGCUUCUUUCUUUGGGUCGAUGCUCUGGCCAAGACUCUGAUGAAUGGACUGCAAGAAGAGCAUGAAGAAUGGUUGCGCAUGCUGCCACGAAUGGCAGUGGCCGCAGCACAAGCUCCGGAAUAA